AUGUGACUGGAAAGCUAACGGAAGCUGCUCUCUGUGAGGGGAGGAGGAAAAGGCGCGGCGGCCCACGCUGUCGGCUCUCGCUCCCGUGGUUUCCGCCCUGCCAGUCCCAAGGGGGCAGCACCUUGCCCUUCUCCUCUUCGACCUGUACCAGUUCCCAUCACAGGUCACUAGAAUAAAUACAACGGCUGCGGCUCCCAGACACCUUUGCUGAGUUUGAAGCCCGGGCAGCAGAUUCACAGCUCGAGUUUCAUGUGGCUUCCAGGAUUCCUGAGGCGUGGUUCUGACCAGGAAUUCUUUUUAUCUUUAUUGUGUAGGUAAGUUGUAAGCACUUUUGACCUUCAAAGAUGGUAUGUUUGUAAUGAAUGUUGGACUUUUAUGUUCCUUGCUUUGCGAAUCACCUAGCAAAUACAUAUGGGCCAUAUUCUGGGUGAGAAUGUGCUAGGAUAAAUAACUGUUCGAAAUCCCUGCUAAAUAAUGAUGAGAUGGAAAAUUGCAGUCUGA